UACGGAGGGUGCAAGCGUUAUCCGGAUUCACUGGGUUUAAAGGGUGCGUAGGCGGGCAGGUAAGUCAGUGGUGAAAUCUUUGGGCUUAACCCGAAAACUGCCAUUGAUACUAUCUGUCUUGAAUAUUGUGGAGGUUUGCGGAAUAUGUCAUGUAGCGGUGAAGUGCUUAGAUAUGACAUAGAACACCUAUUGCGAAGGCAGCAAACUACGCAUAUAUUGACGCUGAGGCACGAAAGCGUGGGGAUCAAACAGG
rnacentral:rRNA from 1 species